rnacentral:lncRNA from 1 species
CCCUGACUGGAGGAAACCUGCAGGCUCUCGUCCGCCGAGCUCAGAAGUGCCAGGCGCUGCCAACGGCCCCGGAGAUCCUCGCAUCCCUACAGAAACACGAGUUAUUUUUCUCCUUACCAUAAACAAAAACAGCAUUGGCAAUAAGGGCUGAAGGCAUUAUAGUGGCCUAUGAGCAGAAUUUGCCAUGCCUUCCAUGGAGCAUUCUUUUUCCAAGUCAGGUCAAUCCAGCCUGCAGCUGUAAGUCAAUGAAGUUCCUCAGAUAAAGUGCAUGCAAAAAUGUUAUUUUUCAAGCACCAGUAAAGACACUUGUUUUAAUCUUAUACCCCUUGCACGUACUAUAGAGGAAGAGGGUGACCCUUAGUGUUGAAUAGAUCUGGGUGGGAUUUCCAUAUCUAUGGACAAGCUGUGGCUCUGGGCCAGUUUCUACAUCUGUACAAUGGAGUCAAAUCUUUUCCUUGCAGGGCUGGUGUGAUGGGAACAUGCCAGCUUCUUCACCAAGCCUGGUCCUAUGAAGGGGUGCCUCAGUACAUACUAGUUUCUCUUUCCUCUUAUUCCCCUCCUGCCCACCUGACAAAAUCCUUCUAUUUUGCCCACGUUACAAAACUCUUCUAUUUUGCCCACCUGGCAAAAUCCUUCUAUUUUGCCAUUAACCUGCUCAAGAAAGGACUUUGUCCCCAUCUGCAUUUUCUCUGCAAGAAUGUGCCCGCCUCUAAGAAUGGAGAGUAAACCCAUGGUAUACAAGGGGCUGGGGAGGCUAAUUCACAAGAGUUCAGAAAUUCCAACAGAGCUGCACAAGGAUGAUGUCAGAAAUAAGAGUGAUAACUCAGAAACCAGUGACAGUCUAUCAGCCCGGUUUCACAAAACUGGCAGCCCACUGGCCUCUGCCUCCUCUGCCUCCCACUCUCCUUGCCUUUCCCUGAAAAGCAAAUCUAAUGAUUGGCAAAAACAAAACCAAGGCUGGAGGAGAGGGGGUGGCUAGUCUGUGUUAUUUUGCGAAGCCAUUCAUCUCUGCCAGAUUUAGGUUUACCAGGAAAGUAGGUUGAAAUAGACGUGUGUCUGCUUUGUUCUAACCCCAUUCUUCUCUGGAUAGUGGUACCAAUCGGUAUCCUGGGCUUAUAAUGACAGAAAUAUGUGUGCCAGGCAUCACAGUGAACAUUUCACACAGAUGAGCAUGUUAUAUUUACACAAGCUUCUGAAGUACAUGCCAUUAUUAUCAUUCCCAUUCUUCAGAUGAAGAAACUAAGGCAGAGAGCUGUGGAGUAGCUUGUCUGUGGCCUCAUAACUGGAGUGUGGGAGAACAUCAGGAUUUGAACUCAGGCUGUCUGGCCACCUCCACCCCACCUGCUACCAACCUUCUGUGCCCUCUCAGUUCUCCCCACCCAUCAUGUUCUUUGCAGUCAGGACCCCAGCUUUAGGUGCCCAAAGCUUUCUGUGGUCCUGGUCACUUCACUUGGGCUAAGGGGCCAAUUAACUUACUGAGCCAUCCCAUGCCAAUGGGGAAGGGCUGGAGGAAACCCCACCACCAUCCCACACAUAGUCUGGACAGCCCUCACUCCUACCCCAGGAGCACAGAUCCACAUCCAGAGCAAAUGCCAUCUCAUCCUGGACAUCUUCCUUGAUUUUGCCCCUGAGGUCUAUACCACUUUAUACCUCUCUUGGGACCUUUGCCUCUUUCCAAAAAUUACUCGUGUCUGUACAAGAUUUCAUAGUCUCCAAAGGCCUUUCCCAUCCACCUAGUCCAGCUUCUUCCCAGGCCUUUUAACCUCCUUCUAUCACUGGGAUGGCAUUCAGCAUGGUAAUUCAGCACCUGAGCUCUGGAAUCCAGCCUGCAGCAUCCUAACUUCACCACUUGCUAGCUGUGUGCCGCUGGGCAAGGUACUUGCUCAACUUCUCAACAUCUCGGUUUCCCUAUCUGUGAAACUGGGAUAAUAAUAAUGUCACCCUUAUCUGGUUGGAGGGUUGAAUGAGAUAAGCAUACAAGCAUACACAGCACCCAAACUCAGUAAGUGCUGGCUGCUGUUAUCAUCUCACUAAAUCUUCUCCCAAAACUCCUGUGGGAUUAAACCUUCCCACCACCCUCCCACACACACUCUGGUUCUUGUCAUCAGUAAAAAUGCAUCUGAACCAGAUGACCUUUAAGCUUUCUUCCAGCUCCAUCAACCUAUGAUUCUACCAUGAAUCACAGUUAUUAUGGACACAUUUUAACUCUUUAUGCCAUAGCAAUCUCCUGAAGGCCCAGCCCUUAACAUAGGGCCUUGUAUACAGUUGGCUGUCCUGCCAGGGUGAUGUUAGCACCUAACAAUAGUCCUUGCCUCAUCCACGCACUGGGAUGAACAAAUGAGGAAAUUCCUAUAUAGCAUUUAGUCCAGUGCCUGGCACUGAGUAAGCCCCUAAUAAGUCAUGGUUUCUAUUAUUAUCCCAUCUGAUACUAAUAAGAUUCCCAAACAUGGUCAUUAAAAGCAUAGGAGCCACACUGGGUGUGGACUCAUCCUAGUGCUGAUCCUGUGAGACCUUGAGCAAGUUAAUUCACCACCCCAUGCCUCAAUUUCCUCCUCUGUAAUAUGGAUGUGAUUAUGAGUAACUUCCUAAUAAGGUUGUUGUGAGUUAAUAGAAGGGCACUUAGAAUUGUGCCUGGCAUCUGCUUGGUAUAUGUAAGUGCUUUUUGUCAUCAUUUACAGAUGUCAGCGGCACCAAGGGACAUCCCCAAGCAGUAGUGGAGUUGGGAUCCAAACCUAAGCUUGACUGAUUCCAGAGCCUCAGUGCUAAUAUUAGGAGAUAUUGCUGCCCUGUGUGAUCCCAUGCAUUUCAGCAGGAGCCUCCUUGUCCACUCCUUUCAGUUGUCUUCCCUGGCAAAGGAGUUUUUAUAAUGGUGAUUUCAGGAUGGGAGGAGGGUGAGUCAGCACCAGAGAGACCUAAGGAUGCCCUCAAAUCAUACCACAGGAGAAGCAGCCUUCUUCUCACCUGUGUCUGGUCGUAUCACUUUAGCAUUCCAUCAGGACCUGGCCCAGAAGCCCAGAAACAUGGCAACACCCACACCUGCCAUCUAGCCUGGAAGCUGCAGCGAAACCCUCAGCACUCACGCUGAUGUCACAUUUGAGGCUAGUCCCAGCUCUUCCAUGGAGACAGGCCCUGGCCUUGAGGCCAUUUCCCAUUUCUGAGGCAUGAUUCACUUAGCAGACAAGACCAGACAGACUCGUUCAUGUUCAUACCUACCGGAGGAAGGAGAGGUGGGUGGUGGAUCCAGGGGGAGAAGAAAAACAAACGGGGUUAGGGCUGGCAGGACUCUCGCUGCUGGGCUGCAGGGGCGGAGCAGGCAGGCAGAGCGCCUGACUUAGGAGCCGUGCCCAGCAUGGCCACCCACUCACCCAUUUAUCUUCCUUGCAGUCAAAUGUAUUGAUUUAAACAGGAAUCCGUCUGUGCUUCUAAAGCCCCAGAAACGCACUUACAUCUCACGUGUAGCACAAUGAUUUUCAAAGAGGUUUCCCACAAAUAAUUUUAAUUUGGGUUACUUUUUAAAUAUUUGAUUCUCUUAUUAACAAAGCAACACAUGCUUAUGAGGAAUGCUGGGACAACUUUUCAAAUGUCAAUUUUAAAUAUAUACAGAAUUAUACCACCAGCAAUAAGAUUUUCAGUAAAUUUCCCACUAGUCUGUUUUCUGAGUCCACAGACAUAUAUAGUUCAUGAAACAAAAUUGGAGCCAUACCACACAAAGAGUUCCAUAUCUUUUUUUCUUUUCAUUUAACAUAAAGUCAUUGGCAUUUUUCAAUGUUACCAAAUAUUCUGCUACAGCAAUUCAUAAUGGCUGCAUUUAUCAGAAUAGAUGUGUUAUAAUUUCGGUGGCCAUGCCCUGAUUGUUGGACUUUCAAGAUGUUUACGAAAAUAUUACUAUUAAAAUAACAGUGCCACGAACACCUCUUUACUUGUAUUUUUGUCUGUAUAUCUGAUUAUGUGCCAAUAAUAAAUUUCUAGUAAUGGAAUUACUAGCUCACAGGAUUUGAAUAUUUCUGAAUAUAUCUAGCCAAAUUACUUUCCAGAAAAUACAUCCAGUUUACACUCCCCCGGCAAUGUGUUCGAAUGUUCUCACUCUGUUUUGAGCUUGUGAGCCAGUGAGUUAGGUAACAAGGUCUCAUGUUACAGACGAAGAAAACUGGGCACAAAAAGAUUAAGUAGCCAGCUCCAGUUCGUACAACUGAGAUCCAAGCCCUGGCCUCCUGGAGUUAGUGUCAGGGGCCUUCCAGACAAGGAGAGCUCUGAAGAGGU